rnacentral:rRNA from 1 species
GUGGGGAAUAUUGGACAAUGGGCGAAAGCCUGAUCCAGCCAUGCCGCGUGUGUGAAGAAGGUCUUCGGAUUGUAAAGCACUUUAAGUUGGGAGGAAGGGCAGUAAGUUAAUACCUUGCUGUUUUGACGUUACCGACAGAAUAAGCACCGGCUAACUUCGUGCCAGCAGCCGCGGUAAUACGAAGGGUGCAAGCGUUAAUCGGAAUUACUGGGCGUAAAGCGCGCGUAGGUGGUUCAGCAAGUUGAAGGUGAAAUCCCCGGGCUCAACCUGGGAACUGCCUCCAAAACUACUGAGCUAGAGUACGGUAGAGGGUAGUGGAAUUUCCUGUGUAGCGGUGAAAUGCGUAGAUAUAGGAAGGAACACCAGUGGCGAAGGCGACUACCUGGACUGAUACUGACACUGAGGUGCGAAAGCGUGGGGAGCAAACAGGAUUAGAUACCCGAGUAGUCC